AGAGUUUGAUUCUGGCUCAGGAUGAACGCUAGCUACAGGCUUAACACAUGCAAGUCGAGGGGCAGCAUGGUCUUAGCUUGCUAAGACUGAUGGCGACCGGCGCACGGGUGAGUAACGCGUAUCCAACCUUCCCCUUAGUAGGGCAUAGCCCGGCGAAAGUCGGAUUAAUACCCUAUGUUGUCAAUAGAGGACAUCUGAAGCUGACCAAAGGUUUACCGCUAAGGGAUGGGGAUGCGUCUGAUUAGGUUGCAGGCGGGGUAACGGCCCACCUGGCCGACGAUCAGUAGGGGUUCUGAGAGGAAGGUCCCCCACACUGGAACUGAGACACGGUCCAGACUCCUACGGGAGGCAGCAGUGAGGAAUAUUGGUCAAUGGGCGAAGGCCUGAACCAGCCAAGUAGCGUGAGGGAGGACGGCCCUACGGGUUGUAAACCUCUUUUGUUCGGGAAUAAAGUCGGGGACGCGUCCCCGUUUGUAUGUACCUUACGAAUAAGCAUCGGCUAAUUCCGUGCCAGCCGCGGC
rnacentral:rRNA from 1 species